rnacentral:rRNA from 1 species
GGGGAAUAUUGGACAAUGGGCGAAAGCCUGAUCCAGCCAUGCCGCGUGUGUGAAGAAGGUCUUCGGAUUGUAAAGCACUUUAAGUUGGGAGGAAGGGCAGUUACCUAAUACGUGAUUGUUUUGACGUUACCGACAGAAUAAGCACCGGCUAACUCUGUGCCAGCAGCCGCGGUAAUACAGAGGGUGCAAGCGUUAAUCGGAAUUACUGGGCGUAAAGCGCGCGUAGGUGGUUUGUUAAGUUGGAUGUGAAAGCCCCGGGCUCAACCUGGGAACUGCAUCCAAAACUGGCAAGCUAGAGUAUGGUAGAGGGUGGUGGAAUUUCCUGUGUAGCGGUGAAAUGCGUAGAUAUAGGAAGGAACACCAGUGGCGAAGGCGACCACCUGGACUGAUACUGACACUGAGGUGCGAAAGCGUGGGGAGCAAAC